UAUUCAACCCAUUCUCACUCCAAAGGCGUCAAAAACCGAAGCAUGGUCAAGCGCCCCUAGCGUCACUUUUAUGACGCCAAAUGUGCCUCUCGGCGUCGAAUAUCGAAGCACUACGACCUUCAUUGCUUUCAAUGGGAAACUUUUGGCGUCAGAAUUCGACACGAGGACAUGAGAUGUUUAUCGCUAUGAAAUCACGUUCAAGAAGUCUCAUUCAGCACACAUCGCGAUACUUGCUAUCAGUUCCACAGUUUGGCUGAAAAGACGUAAAGGCAGUCAGCCCAGUGGUGUUUCUGGAGAGGGAUUCCUUCAGAAAUGGAGAAGACAGAAAGCUGUGGAGGCAGAUAUAUGCAGCAGAUUUUUUGCAGAUAAUCCUAAUGCUGUUCUUCUUUUUCAGGUCUAAAAUAUCAAGCUCAACAGCUCACUCAAGAGCCAACCCUCACAAACCUUCCUAAAAACUAAAAGAGCUAUUACUGAGUCUCAGCGAAUCUUGCCAUGAUCAGCUCUUCCCAGAAGAGAAGGAAGACCAAGGAAAUGAUUUGCUCAGGAUGAGAAAUGAAGACAGCCAUCUUGUGCUCAAACAAACAGAAGUCCUCUGAUGAUCUCAUCAGCCAAAUAUGGGGUUUUGACCAAGUGAUGCUCUUGAAAGGAGUGAAAGAAGAAGAUGUGCUAAAUUCUCUUCAGAGAAAAAGCUUCUCAAAAGGUCUCAAAACAGCUUGAAGAAUGGUCUGGGAUGUUAGGACUGAGAGAUCCUCUGGCUGAGAACAAGCUACACCACAUCAGUGCUGGAUAUCAACCACAAACUGUUUCCAGACACGAGAGAAGAAGAACAUGAUGGGGAGAUGAAACCAGUUUAGAUGUGAU